rnacentral:lncRNA from 1 species
GGGUGCAAACUCCCAUCCCAACGUUCUGACCAGCUCCUGCCUCCCAAGGCUGCCUGGGAUUGACUUGGCCUGUAUUUUCAGCUCAUUUAUAUGCCUAUGUGAGCCUCCAGACAGACUGGGAGUUCUUUGGGUGUGGAGUUAUAGACGGUUGGUCUUUGUAUCGCCAGAGCGGCACCCCUGUAAUACUUGGUGCUUAAUAGAUGCUUGUUAAAGCACUGGUAGGGAAGUUCUUGGCCUACAGUUAAAGAAGAUUGGAUACUGUCUCUGUGACCCUGGGCACAUCACUUCACCUCUGCCUGCCUCAGUUUACCCAAGGGUCCUCCUAACCACCACUCGUAGCUCCCUUGUCUGAACCCCUCCUAAGGUGCUGAAGUUUAUCACUUGCUCUACAAAAGAGCUCAGUCAUUGCCCCCCAGCCAACACCUGCUGCUGCUUCCUGGACUCUUCCCAGAAUUCUACCAUCCUGUCUCUCAAAGGGAGCAGCGAGCAGAGACGGUUGCUCUUUGGCUGCUGAGCCUUCCCAAAGAAAGAAGUUAGGGAUGAGACGUGAUGCUGCUAUUUGCUGGGCUAUUGCACAGGUAGAGACAACAGCUGCCAUUUGUAAUUGAACGAUAUGAUUGAG